GACUUCUCCAUACUCAUAGGCAUAUUGACAUUGAAUGCAUCAUGUUCCUAGAGGAAAUGCAAGAUUCUCCUCGUGGGCAAUCGUUGUGAACACGUGGAUGAGACAUAGGAGGCUUCGUUCCUUGUCACCAGUGCUGCCAGUGUGGCUCAUGGCAGCUGGGAGUAAUCUAACUCCACAGCGUUCAUUUCCCUCCUCCACUUCCCUCUCAUGGUUCAAAGCAGUCCAAGCUGGAGAAGGGUGCUCUUAAGGCAAUGGUCAGAAAACUCCUGCCCUUGUGAAGAACUGGCAGAGAAGUUACAGAAAACCAGGUUAAAAUGUGUGAGCUGGACUCUACAUAUGCACACCCCAGAAUGGAGAAGAAACUGAGUUCAGAAACAGGCUGUGUGAAGGAGACUUCUGAACUCACGGGAGAGGAGAAGCCAACAGCAAAGUCAUGGGAUCCUUCAGACUGGCUCAGGCUUGGUCAAGAACUUCGCAAGCCUAGUUCUUAGACCAGAGAGGAAGAGCUCAUGGAGUUUGUGAUGGUUUGGAUAUGCUUGGCUCAAGGAGUGGCACUACUAGGAGGUGUGGCCUUGUUGGAGUAGGUGUGUCACUGUGGUUGUGGGCUUUAAAACCCUCCCCCCUAGCUGCCUGGGAGUCAGUCUUCUACUAGCAGCCUUCAGAUGAAGAUGUAGAACUCUCAGCUCCUCCUGCACCAUGCCUGCCUGGAUGCUGCCAUGUUCCUGCCUUGAUGAUAAUGGACUGAACCUCUGAAGCUGUAAGCCAACCUCAAUCAAACCCUGUCCUUUAUAAGAUUUGCCUUGGUCAUGGUGUCUGUUCGUGGUAGUAAAACCCUAAGGAAGAGGAAGUUCCAAGCUUUUAUCUGAUAAAAA